UCCCCUUCCACCACGCAGAAGCUUUACUUUCGCUUUCACUUUACUUUUGCUUUCACUUUAACAAAUCUUGCAGCCGCACACUCUUUGGGUCCGCCCGUUUCUCUAAUCAAGUUGUAACACUCGCUGCUGUGGUCCACAGCUUCAUUCCUUGAAGCCCGUGAGACACGAACGCUUCCAUUGAGAAAAACCUUCCAUCAGAAGAAGACUUCUCGUCUCAGUGGGACUGCUGAGUUGAAUGAGACGAGGUUUCACCAUGUUACCCAAGCUGAUCUCGAACUCCUGGGUUCAUGCGAUCCACCUGACUCAGCCUCACAAAGUGGUAGGACUACAGCUAACAUCUCUACUCCUCUGCAAGAUGACCUCCUCCUGCAUGCACACAGCAGCCACUGGCUCAUAGCAGCCCGAGAGCCCCCAAAUCCCUCUGAAAAUUGCUGUGAAACAGAGGUUUGCCUCUCUUUCCUGAGAACCAGAAUGAGUCAGAAGCCCAGUACACAUGGGAACAGUUGAGCCUUUGGAUCUUCUGUGCAGUUUCUCCUUUCUGAUAAGUUAUUCUUUUCUUGCAAAUGAUUCUCUCCCAGAUAACAAUCUGAGCAGGGAGGAAAAGAAGAAAGGGACAAUUUGUCUAUUGAGUCAAACUUCAGGCAGCAUUUGAUGUACCCUAGCCUUGGAAAAGGGCUAAAACUGCAUUUAGUUUGUGGCAAAUGUGAAUUAUCAUCUUUCUAUGUCAAGUUGUUCAUGUCUUUUGAUAACAUAGCAGGUGAUACUUACUCAGAGUAUUAAUCAUGGCAUUUAACCUACUCUGAAAGAAAACCAAAAUACCCUUAGGGAGAGCUUCCAUUACCAGGAUAUCCAAUAUUCAUUUUGCCCUAAGUGCAACCUCCAAAGAUGCAGUCCUAUUUAAAUAAUCAAUUCUUCUCAAUCACCCCACCCAACAAUGACUGGAAAUUACCCCAAAGAAAAGAAGAAUGGAAUAAUCAACUUUGAAAGAAAGCCCUUUUUAUAUUAAAAUUGGAACUAUUUUUUCUCACUCUCGUCGUUUAUAUUUUUCCGAUACAUAUUGUAAGCAAACAUAUACAUCAGUUCAUAUCACUCGUUGAAUUUGUCAAUCAAAUCUAAACAUCUAUAGGGGACUGGUAUUUGUUUAGCCAAAAGAAGCAAAAUAAAGAGAAAUAAAUUAUAAAAAGCAAGUUAUAAAUGUAGCUUAAUAUUUGUGAUAAUUUUAUUAAUCAACAUAAUUUGCAUCUUUG
rnacentral:lncRNA from 1 species